GAUGAACGCUGGCGGCGUGCCUAAUACAUGCAAGUCGAGCGAACAGACGAGGAGCUUGCUCCUCUGACGUUAGCGGCGGACGGGUGAGUAACACGUGGAUAACCUACCUAUAAGACUGGGAUAACUUCGGGAAACCGGAGCUAAUACCGGAUAAUAUAUUGAACCGCAUGGUUCAAUAGUGAAAGACGGUUUUGCUGUCACUUAUAGAUGGAUCCGCGCCGCAUUAGCUAGUUGGUAAGGUAACGGCUUACCAAGGCAACGAUGCGUAGCCGACCUGAGAGGGUGAGCGGCCACACUGGAACUGAGACACGGUCCAGACUCCUACGGGAGGCAGCCGUAGGGAAUCUUCCGCAAUGGGCGAAAGCUUGACGGAGCAACGCCGCGUGAGUGAUGAAGGUCUUCGGAUCGUAAAACUCUGUUAUUAGGGAAGAACAAAUGUGUAAGUACCUAUGCACGACUUGACGGUCCCUAAUCAGAAAGCCACGGCUAAAUCCGUA
rnacentral:rRNA from 1 species